GUUUAGCCCAGAUUGAAACGACAUCCUUUUUAUGCUUUUUCGCAUAAAAAGAUACAGAGGAAAGCUGGAAAUAGC
rnacentral:sRNA from 1 species